rnacentral:rRNA from 1 species
UACGGAGGGUGCUAGCGUUGUUCGGAAUUACUGGGCGUAAAGCGCGCGUAGGCGGCUUUGUAAGUUAGAGGUGAAAGCCCAGAGCUCAACCCCGGAACUGCCUUUAAAACUGCAUCGCUUGAAUCCAGGAGAGGUGAGUGGAAUUCCGAGUGUAGAGGUGAAAUUCGUAGAUAUUCGGAAGAACACCAGUGGCGAAGGCGGCUCACUGGACUGAUAUUGACGCUGAGGUGCGAAAGCGUGGGGAGCAAACAGG